rnacentral:rRNA from 1 species
GGGACACGUGAUAUCCUGUCUGAAUAUGGGGGGACCAUCCUCCAAGGCUAAAUACUCCUGACUGACCGAUAGUGAACCAGUACCGUGAGGGAAAGGCGAAAAGAACCCCUGUGAGGGGAGUGAAAUAGAACCUGAAACCGUGUACGUACAAGCAGUAGGAGCACCUUCGUGGUGUGACUGCGUACCUUUUGUAUAAUGGGUCAGCGACUUAUAUUCAGUGGCAAGGUUAACCGUAUAGGGGAGCCGUAGCG